UGCAUGUAUACAUUCAUGCAUGUAUUCAUUCAUGUAUAUAUUCAUGCAUGUAUACAUUCAUGUAUGUAUUCAUGCAUGAAUGUAUUCAUGCAUGUAUUUAUGCAUGUACACAUUCGUGCAUGUAUUCAUCUUAUCACCAUCUGCCUGGCUUUAAUCAAAUCAUUAAAUCAUCUCUGUAAAAAAUUCCCGACUGAGUAAUUUGAAACCCUUGUUUUGUUAAGGGACAACUUUUGCAUCAGUUGACUAGAAUGAGCCACAUAUUGGAGUUAAAAGGCGAUACGAUGCAAAAUAUCAGCGCUGAUAAUGUUUUGAUCUCUGAUUUUUGCAAGUAUUUCUCUGGCCGACCUUUCAGAACGAGCUCAUCAUUCAGAUUCUGAGCGAGAGCCACGAGAUGGAGGACAUGAGGAGGCAGGUGGAGGACGCCAAGAUGAAGCUGCUGACGGAGAUGAAGCUGAGGAAACAGGCCGCCACUGAGUUGAGGGGCCUGAAGGCGGAGCUGGCCCAGAAGAAGAGUCAGUCCUGCCAUCUUGGGCCUGUGGCAUCUCCAAGAUGAGUCCAAGUAGCCACGCGUGGAGCUGUUGGAUCCUGACGGUACAUCAAACGAAACCACCGCCGUCUGGUGGAGAUCAUUUGAACGACAUUAGGAGGUUGCCUACAGCCACAGUUGAUCAUAUUUCCUGAGGACUCAGCAGUUUUUUAAAUAUGGAGUUAGGGGUGAACUGCACUUUUUUGGGGUAUUUUUUCUAUUAAUCGCAAUUCUUAUGUAAGACAAGAACACGUUUUUUUUUAUGUAUUCUAACUCAUAAAUGAACGUUAGCAAGAGUCAGCUAACAAUAGAGCCAAUGGGAACCACUCUAUUCCGCCAAUAAAGUACUUAAUGAAGGUUUUUCAAAUGGCUCAUUUUAAGCAUACAGCGGCGCAUUUAUUUUACAAUGUUCGCUUUUCCUUCGACAACAACUACUAAUCAAGGCAGACUUAAUGAGACAAAAAAGACUACUUUAGGACUUACUUUUAGUCAAACACUAAGCAUUAUGUAGCAUUGUUGCUACCUGCUAAACAAGAUAUACAAACUAUCAACAUAAUAAUACAAUCACUUACUGUACGAUGUCUGCUCUCACCAGGAUGUUUAUAUCUUCUCGAUAGGAUGGAGAACUAAUCAUAAUCCUUACGCAGGUACAGAAAAAAAAAGGUGCUACUAACGAGCAUAUUUUUGUGUAACUUUUUCGCAAAGUUGUAUGUCAAAGUUGACCAACUUGUGGGUUUAUGUCCACAACCUUCUACUAUCCAAGUGAGAUGCAAGAUUUGUAAUCUAAAGUUAACUUUCACCAGCUCAGAGGCCAUGCAGCUGCUCAAUAAGUUAAUAUGGCAGCAUGAGCUACUUAGCUCUCUGAGAUCACAGCGCCGCUAAAAGUAGUUCCUCUGCAAUAGCGCUCAUGACAACCAUAUCACUAAUAUUUGUUAAUAUUCAAGUCACCACAUGUAAAGUAUUGUUAGUGCUUUUUAGAGUUCUUUUUGAUGGCUUAAUGGGCGGAAUAGUGUAUUCCCAUCGUUAGCCACCUCCUACUUGCCAUAUUUUACUAGUCGGAAUGCAUGAAAUAAUUUUUAGGCACUCCGUACUUGCCAUAUUUUACUAUUUGCAAUGCAUAAAAUCAGUGUUAUCCACCCCGUACUUGCCAUAUUUUACUAUUUGCAAUGCAUAAAAUCAUUGUUAGCCACCUCGUACUUGCCAUAUUUUACUAGUUGGAAUGCAUAAAGUCAGUGUUAUCCACCUCGUACUUGCCAUGUUUUAUUAUUUGCAAUGCAUAAAAUCAUUGUUAGCCACCUCAUAGUUGCCAUAUUUCACUAGUUGGAAUGCAUAAAUCAUUGUUAGCCACCUCCUACUUGCCAUCUUUUACUAGUUGGCAUGCAUAAAUCAUUUUUAGCCACCUCCUACUUGCCAUAUUUUACUAGUUGGAAUGCAUAAAUCAUUUUUAGCCACCUCCUACUUGCCAUCUUUUACUAGUUGGCAUGCAUAAAUCAUUGUUAGCCACCUCCUACUUGCCAUAUUUUAUUAUUUGCAAUGCAUAUAUCAUUUUUAGCCACCUCCUAAUUGCCAUAUUUUACUAGUUGGAAUGCAUAAAUCAUUGUUAGCCACCUCCUACUUGCCAUAUUUUAUUAUUUGCAAUGCAUAUAUCAUUUUUAGCCACCUCCUAAUUGCCAUAUUUUACUAGUUGGCAUGCAUAAAUCAUUUUUAGCCACCUCGUACUUGCCAUAUUUUAUUAUUUGCAAUGCAUAUAUCAUUUUUAGCCACCUCCUAAUUGCCAUAUUUUACUAGUUGGAAUGCAUAAAUCAUUGUUAGCCACCUUGUACUUGCCAUCUUUUACUAGUUGGAAUGCAUAAAUCAUUGUUAGCCACCUCAUAGUUGCCAUAUUUUACUAGUUGGAAUGCAUAAAUCAUUUUUAGCCACCUCCUACUUGCCAUAUUUUACUAGUUGGCAUGCAUAAAUCAUUGUUAGCCACCUCAUACUUGCCAAAUUUUAUUAUUUGCAAUGCAUAUAUCCUUUUUAGCCACCUCCUAAUUGCCAUAUUUUACUAGUUGGAAUGCAUAAAUCAUUGUUAGCCACCUUGUACUUGCCAUCUUUUACUAGUUGGAAUGCAUAAAUCAUUGUUAGCCACCUCCUACUUGCCAUCUUUUACUAGUUGGAAUGCAUAAAUCAUUGUUAGCCACCUCCUACUUGCCAUCUUUUACUAGUUGGAAUGCAUAAAUCAUUGUUAGCCACCUAGUACUUGCCAUCUUUUACUAGUUGGAAUGCAUAAAUCAUUGUUAGCCACCUCCUACUUGCCAUCUUUUACUAGUUGGAAUGCAUAAAUCAUUGUUAGCCACCUCCUACUUGCCAUCUUUUACUAGUUGGCAUGCAUAAAUCAUUUUUAGCCACCUCCUACUUGCCAUAUUUUACUAGUUGGCAUGCAUAAAUCAUUUUUAGCCACCUCGUACUUGCCAUAUUUUAUUAUUUGCAAUGCAUAUAUCAUUUUUAGCCACCUCCUAAUUGCCAUAUUUUACUAGUUGGAAUGCAUAAAUCAUUGUUAGCCACCUCCUACUUGCCAUCUUUUACUAGUUGGAAUGCAUAAAUCAUUGUUAGCCACCUAGUACUUGCCAUAUAUAUAUAUAUAAAAAAUUUUUCCUGAAGGAAUAAAUAAAGUACUAUCUAAUCUAGUAAACCAUUGUUAGCCACCUCAUACUUGCCAUAUUUUACUGUUUGCAAUGCAUAAAAUCAUUGCUAGCUACCUCGUACUUGCCAUAUUUUACUAUUUGGAAUGCAUAAAAUAAAGAAUUACAUGUGUUCUUGUCGUACAUAAGGAUUGUUGAUGAUAGACAGAAUCAAUAAAAAAGUGCAGUUUCCACCUCUAAUUGGAACAUCUGCAGCUCCAAGCUAACAUUUGAGGUGCACUAGUUCCUGUUUUUGUUCUGAACGUUAACCACAAAAACAGAAGGACAUUUACUACCAAUGUUCCAGAUUUAUCCCGCUGAGUAACUAAAGACCGAUAGUAUGUAUAGGAUCUAAGUAGCAUAGUCAGUAGUAUAAAUAGAAUGUGGAAAAACAAAUGUAUAAAAGCAAAUGCUCCCAUAAGAAAUACCAGUGAUGUCAUCUGUGCUAAACAGCUAUAAACAUGAACAAAACAAGGUAUUAGUAAUACAUUAUUAGUAAUUAGGAGUACAAGAUGCAAACAAUGUGACUAAAGGAAUGUUCUUUUAGCGGAGACUAGAUAAGGACUUCACUUUGUAGUUGUCCUCUACAGUAGACUUUUGAUUUUGGUCUAUUUGUUUUGCCAAACCUACAGGAGCGCUGUGCUAUUUUUAAGGACCUUCUGCAAAAAAGCCAAUCUCGUGUUUUGAAGAAUCUGCUGCAAAAAUGUGAGUCCCUCACAAGUUUUCUUUUUAACGGAACUGGCGGGCCCACAUGAUGACAAAGAGAGGACCUAAAAUGGAACAGCAAUGACUACUGACUGCAUCUGAAGUAAACACCACCUUAGUUUCAUAAAUCACAUUACCAGCAAACGUUGUGACUGCCAAAAAAGAGAGGACUUUGGGUGUUUUGAGGAACAGGUUGGAACGCCAGCCAGGUUCAAAUGUCAACACAACUCUAGUAUUAUACGAGUUUGCCACUAAAAUGUCUUUAACUGACUUUGGGGGCCAAUAAUGUGUCUUUGCAGGGUGGGAUUUGGCCCUCGGGACGGCAGUUGAACAGGCUUGCUGCAGCAUAUUUGUAUUCAAGUUUGUAUUUGUAUUUGUGUGUGAAUGUCGUAUUACAAACCCCGAUUCCACAUGAGUUGGGAAAUUGUGUUAGAUGUAAAUAUAAACAGAAUACAAUGA